rnacentral:miRNA from 1 species
CCUCGGUGCGCUACUUGUCACG